rnacentral:rRNA from 1 species
GACGAACGCUGGCGGCGGGCUUAACACAUGCAAGUCGAACGGAAAGGCCCUGCUUUUGUGGGGUGCUCGAGUGGCGAACGGGUGAGUAACACGUGUGUAACCUGCCCUUGACUUUGGGAUAACUUCAGGAAACUGGGGCUAAUACCGUAUAGGAGCUCCUGCUGCAUGGUGGGGGUUGGAAAGUUUCGGCGGUUGGGGAUGGACUCGCGGCUUAUCAGCUUGUUGGUGGGGUAGUGGCUUACCAAGGCUUUGGCGGGUAGCCGGCCUGAGAGGGUGACCGGCCACCUUGGGACUGCGAUACGGACCAGACUCCUACGGGAGGCAGCAGUGGGGAAUAUUGCCCAAUGGGCGGAAGCCUGAUGCAGCAACGCCGCGUGCGGGAUGACGGCCUUCGGGUUGUAAACCGCUUUCGCCUGUGACGACGCGUGAGUGACGGUACUGGGUAAAGAAGCACCGGCUAACUACGUG